GAUGCUGGUGGUUGGCGCUCCUGGCUUCCAGGACGGGGUUUAAGUCCCUGCACAUC
rnacentral:sRNA from 1 species